rnacentral:rRNA from 1 species
AACAGGAUUAGAUACCCUGGUAGUCCACGCUGUAAACGAUGUCGAUUUGGAGGUUGUGGGCAUGACCCGUGGCUUCCGGAGCUAACGCGUUAAAUCGACCGCCUGGGGAGUACGGCCGCAAGGUUAAAACUCAAAUGAAUUGACGGGGGCCCGCACAAGCGGUGGAGCAUGUGGUUUAAUUCGAUGCAACGCGAAGAACCUUACCUACUCUUGACAUCCAGAGAAUUCGCUAGAGAUAGCUUAGUGCCUUCGGGAACUCUGAGACAGGUGCUGCAUGGCUGUCGUCAGCUCGUGUUGUGAAAUGUUGGGUUAAGUCCCGCAACGAGCGCAACCCUUAUCCUUUGUUGCCAGCACGUAAUGGUGGGAACUCAAAGGAGACUGCCGGUGAUAAACCGGAGGAAGGUGGGGAUGACGUCGAGUCAUCGUGGCCCUUACGAGUAGGGCUACACACGUGCUACAAUGGCAUAUACAAAGAGAAGCGAACUCGCGAGAGCAAGCGGACCUCACAAAGUAUGUCGUAGUCCGGAUUGGAGUCUGCAACUCGACUCCAUGAAGUCGGAAUCGCUAGUAAUCGUAGAUCAGAAUGCUACGGUGAAUACGUUCCCGGGCCUUGUACACACCGCCCGUCACACCAUGGGAGUGGGUUGCAAAAGAAGUAGGUAGCUUAACCUUCGGGAGGGCGCUUACCACUUUGUGAUUCAUGACUGGGGUGAAGUCGUAACAAGGUAGCCGUA